GACUUAAAAUCCGUKGGCUUUAUUGACCGUGAGGGUUCARGUCCCUCUACCCCCA
rnacentral:tRNA from 1 species